rnacentral:lncRNA from 1 species
GGCUAACAAUAACUCCAUUCAGAUCUUGGAAAGAUUCUGUUACUGCCUAGAUUUUGCGAGCUUCCUCAAUGACCAUAACUCCCAUUUUCCACUCUCUCAUUUUCAUCACCAAACCUAAAUUCUAAAACCACAAUCUAACUGACGAUGAUCCAUCUCCACCUCGUCAUCCUCGCAUCUUCAUAGAAAAAUCACUAUCUUGUAUUGUCAUCCUCGUCUCCUUCCCCUUUCUUUAUUUCUCACUCUUUUUAUUCUAUUUUGUGGUAUUGAUUUUUGGUUAGGAGUAUUUUUUUUAGCUUUUGUUUGUGGAUCUAGGGCUGAGUUUUGAUUUCAUAAGUUUGGGAAUCAACUUUAUGAGUUUGGUGAUGAAACGGAAAUAAGGAAUUCUAUAAUGCAUAUUUUAUAAUGAUUUGUAAUGAUAGUCAAUUAAAAAAACUAAUUUACUG